rnacentral:misc_RNA from 1 species
GGAGAUCCAAAUCACAAUAUCAAACUGUAUUGUCUAUAUCAAACUGUAUUGUCCAUAUUGGUAGUUACAGCAAUUACAGCAGUAAUUAUAGAAUAAUAAUAAUGAAUCUGGGAAUAUCAAAUUGGUUCCCUUGUUUUCCAUUAUGAUCUAGACAAUAUUUAGAAGGCCUCUAAAGGUUAUUGAGUUCUAAGUUGAAUUAUGAUAUUUAAAUUGGGAACCUAGGUUUCGAUAUCACAUGGAUUUAAGCGAGGGGAGAAAGGGAGAGUAGGAAAGAGUGAAGCCAUUGCCCAUUUGCAUGCACCAGUUAAAAUCACAUCACCCAAUAAAGUUUCAAGUUUCAUCACAAACUCUCUAGGAUGAUUGUUAUCAUACACCUAUCAACAACUCAUAAUUUUUUUUUUUUUAAUUUUGCAGCCAUCUAGUUUCAGUUUGUAAAUGAAAAGAAAAAGGGGAGACGGUAUACUGUUUACAUGUAGAAGGAAGUUCUAUUGAAAAAGUAAAUAUUAACAUGGGAAAUAAAUCAAAAAUAUUACCUUAGUUCACGAUAUUCUGCCUCAGUAAGUUGCACGCCAUCAAAUAGAUAUUGUUCGUCUUCUAUGUCAUCCCUGAAACACACAUGCAUAAAUGAAAAUGAUAAGAUGUAGAAACAGAGAAAUACAAAAUCAUAUGCACCAGUUAACUGAAAUUUGCAGCAUAGUUGAUAAGGCACACUGAGGCACCCAAAGCCUAGAGGUGCCAGUAACACUCUGGCACAUGUCUAGGUGUCCAGCCGGGUGCCUGAAAGGCUAGAGAAAUUUCAUUUUAUUUUCCAGUCCACCAAAUUUGCAGCAUAGUUAACAAACCUAGAAAUGCCAUGCCUAAGGGGCUUAAGGGAUUGUUAUUUCUUUAUUUUAUUUUUUAUUUGUUUUAGUAAUUUAUUAGUUCAUGCUUUUGCAAUUUGGUUCCACAUUCAUGGCCUCCUCCCCCACCUGCUGCUCCUGCUUCUACUACUUUAUGCCUUUGCUCAGCAUGAUUGGAUGCUCCCAUCACUUUUUCUAAUCCAUCCUUCUAUCUUCUUCUUCAGUUUUCUUUUUGUUUUUUUCUACGUCAUUACACGUCCAUUUUUUAUAUCUUAUCUGCACCAGAGCUCUAAUGUCCCAGUCAUCUUUCUUUUUCAUCUUUCAGUUCUUUUAUUUCUGAUGCUCUCUCAGCACAAAUGAUCUUUAUCAUUGUAUUUCUUUCAUGACUGAUAAUGUGAACACAAAAUGUAACUUAUUUUUGUCUGCAUUGUUCUGUGCACAAUACUUAAUGCUGACAAUCAAGCACAAAUGAUCUCUAUUAGUGCAUCUUCUUGUUAAUACUGGUGAUGCUUUAAUAUGAAUGUCUGGAUUUUUUGUAUUCAAGUACUACAACUUGCAAUUUCAAAACAUGGUGCAAGUGUUUUCCACAUAUUUUAAUAAAUGAGUACCUCAUAUCCCUCAAAACAUUGUGAAAAGGCCCCCAAGCACCCCUCAUGCCCGUUUGAUGGCUAUGAUUUGCAGGUAGAAGUUUAAAAUUUUUGCAACUAAUCAACCAUAUGUUCUCUUUUCUUUUUUCUUUUUUUUUCACAUUUUGGCUAAAGUAGUCUAGUCUAUAACCAGAAAGACUAAACCAAGGCAACAGCAACAUGCAAUAUAGUUAACUGCUACAUGUAUUCUAUGAUACCUGAGUUCUUCCAAUUUCUUUUGCUCCCUUUUCUUUAGGUACUCUUGUCUUGACACUUUUCUCAAAGUGUCAAUGCCAUCUUCCUCCAAAGCCAGUGAUCUUCGAAAUGCCUCUU